rnacentral:rRNA from 1 species
GGAUGAACGCUGGCGGCGUGCCUAAUACAUGCAAGUCGAGCGAACAGAUGAGAAGCUUGCUUCUCUGAUGUUAGCGGCGGACGGGUGAGUAACACGUGGGUAACCUACCUAUAAGACUGGGAUAACUCCGGGAAACCGGGGCUAAUACCGGAUAAUAUAUUGAACCGCAUGGUUCAAUGUUGAAAGACGGUUUCGGCUGUCACUUAUAGAUGGACCCGCGCCGUAUUAGCUAGUUGGUAAGGUAACGGCUUACCAAGGCAACGAUACGUAGCCGACCUGAGAGGGUGAUCGGCCACACUGGAACUGAGACACGGUCCAGACUCCUACGGGAGGCAGCAGUAGGGAAUCUUCCGCAAUGGGCGAAAGCCUGACGGAGCAACGCCGCGUGAGUGAUGAAGGUCUUCGGAUCGUAAAACUCUGUUAUUAGGGAAGAACAAAUGUGUAAGUAACUGUGCACGUCUUGACGGUACCUAAUCAGAAAGCCACGGCUAACUACGUGCCAGCAG